rnacentral:lncRNA from 1 species
UUUUAUUUUUUAUGGUAUUUUAUAUUUUUAUGGCAUUUUAUAUGAGUGUGAUGGAAGAAGAAAGGUUUAAUGGCUACUUGGGAUGACUCUAAAUCCUCACGAGAUGACUCUGAGGAAGAGCAAUUUAAUGUGAUGAAAAGAUCCAAUCAAAAUCAAAAUCAGAAUCUGAGUCAGACUCUAAAGAGGUAUUUCCUAAUCUAUCUCGCUCUAAAUUAGAAUCUUGUCUUUCUGAAAUUCUGGAGAAAUAUGAGAAGCUUUAGAACAAAUAGAAGGAUCUGAAACAAGUCCAAUAUAUGAAUAUAAA